rnacentral:rRNA from 1 species
UGGGGAAUAUUGGACAAUGGGCGAAAGCCUGAUCCAGCCAUGCCACGUGUGUGAAGAAGGCCUUUUGGUUGUAAAGCACUUUAAGCGAGGAGGAGGCUACUAGUACUAAUACUACUGGAUAGUGGACGUUACUCGCAGAAUAAGCACCGGCUAACUCUGUGCCAGCAGCCGCGGUAAUACAGAGGGUGCGAGCGUUAAUCGGAUUUACUGGGCGUAAAGCGUGCGUAGGCGGCUGAUUAAGUCGGAUGUGAAAUCCCUGAGCUUAACUUGGGAAUUGCAUUCGAUACUGGUUAGCUAGAGUGUGGGAGAGGAUGGUAGAAUUCCAGGUGUAGCGGUGAAAUGCGUAGAGAUCUGGAGGAAUACCGAUGGCGAAGGCAGCCAUCUGGCCUAACACUGACGCUGAGGUGCGAAAGCAUGGGGAGCAAACAGG